UAUCAUUGGAAAGAUAUUUCAAUCUAUUUUCAGAUAAAAUAAGUCUCGUAUGAAUCGAAGUUUCCAACAAAGAGUUACAAUUGAUUUAGUAACAAAAGGUCAGAAAACAAAAUCAUUGUUUUGCAUAAUCCAAAGGGUCGGAUUCAAUAGAUAACUGAGCAGACAUUUGGACUCUAAAUCUUUUAAUCCAGGUAUCAAAAGAAAGAUCUACGAGUCUAGUUUCUAAUGAAAUUAGAUUUGAACAAAUCAGAGUUUCCAACAUUGACUUAUAGGCAAAUCAGUAUCAAAAGGUCAGAAAUUACGAUCCUUGUUUUGCAGAAUCUGUAGGCUCAUUUGACACAAAAGUUUGGGCAGAUAAACUUACUAUGAAUUCUUAAAAUAAGCUAUCAAAAGAAAGUUUAUGAGUCUAUAUUCUGAUCAAAUAAGUUUUAUCCAAAUCAGAGGUCAAUACGUGAAGUUAUAACCAUACAAAGGUAGAAAGGUCAGAAUCUCAAGAGUUGCACAGAUUCGAAUCGUUACGUCUAAACAAGAGAUAUAUCAAAUACAAGGCUAGAACAAUUCAAUGUUCCUCAUAUUCAAAGCAAAUGUAGAGAUAAAAUUAUAAUAAGGAAAGAUCAGGACACUUGCAAUAGGAAAGAUUAGAACAAUAACAGGAGAAACGAUCGGGAAACUUGCAAUAGUUAAGAUCGGAAAACUUACAAUAGGAAGGAUUGGAAAGCUUGCAAUAGAAAGGAUCGAAACACUUACAAUAAGAAAAAUUAGAACAAUAACAGGAGAAACUAUUUGGAAACUUGCAAUAGAAAGGAUCAAAAUAUUUGCAAUAGAAAGGCUUAAAACAAUAACAGGAGAAACGAUCGGGAAACUUGCCUUUUGAAGGUUUUGGUCCAAAGAUUUGAAGAAGGUGUACGCUCGAAUCCUUUUUCUACUUUUCCUCCGUCCCCUCCUUGUUUCGUUUUGUGCACUCGUUUUCUUUCUUUCUUCGCAACUACACCACGUGCCGAAUAUCGAGGCACAGUCACUUGCUCUCUCUUACUCUCAUUCCUUCUUUUUCUUUCCCAAACGCAGCUGCCACAACCACCGUCGCUGCUGCAACAGUUGCUGCCCCUUCCACCGCACUGUCUUCUUUCUCCCCUUCUUUCGCAGACACAGCUGCUGCAUACGCAGUCUCUGCCACUGCAGCCGUAAUCCCGUCCGCAGCCCCUUUAAUCCCCUUUCCUUUCCUUUCUUUCCCAGCUGCAACUGCCGCAGUCGGAGUCGCAGCCAUGGCCGCAGCCACCACAACCACAGCCUCUUCUUCCUCCCCUGCUCUAUUUCCUCUCCUUCUCUUCCAGCUGCAGCUGCCACUGCCACAGCUGCCUCCCCUUCUCCUCUUCCUCUCUUCUUCCCUUUUCCUUUCUCGUCUUCUUCCUUUCC
rnacentral:lncRNA from 1 species